rnacentral:rRNA from 1 species
UGGGGAAUAUUGCACAAUGGGCGCAAGCCUGAUGCAGCCAUGCCGCGUGUAUGAAGAAGGCCUUCGGGUUGUAAAGUACUUUCAGCGGGGAGGAAGGGAGUAAAGUUAAUACCUUUGCUCAUUGACGUUACCCGCAGAAGAAGCACCGGCUAACUCCGUGCCAGCAGCCGCGGUAAUACGGAGGGUGCAAGCGUUAAUCGGAAUUACUGGGCGUAAAGCGCACGCAGGCGGUUUGUUAAGUCAGAUGUGAAAUCCUCGGGCUCAACCUGGGAACUGCAUCUGAUGAUGGCAAGCUUGAGUCUCGUAGAGGGGGGUAGAAGUACAGGUGUAGCGGUGAAAUGCGUAGAGAUCUGGAGGAAUACCGGUGGCGAAGGCGGCCCCCUGGACGAAGACUGACGCUCAGGUGCGAAAGCGUGGGGAGCAAACAGG